UACGUAGGGUCCAAGCGUUAAUCGGAAUUACUGGGCGUAAAGCGUGCGCAGGCGGUUUUGUAAGCCAGAUGUGAAAUCCCCGGGCUUAACCUGGGAAUGGCAUUUGGGACUGCACGGCUAGAGUACGGCAGAGGAGACUAGAAUUCCUGGUGUAGCAGUGAAAUGCGUAGAUAUCAGGAGGAAUACCGAUGGCGAAGGCAGGUCUCUGGGUCGAUACUGACGCUCAUGCACGAAAGCGUGGGGAGCGAACAGG
rnacentral:rRNA from 1 species